GGCAUUUUAGGAUAAGUAAUUUAAGUCUACGAGGUUCAUAUUUUCGGGGUUUUAGUGUUU
rnacentral:tRNA from 1 species